AUGCUGAGCACGGAAGGCAGGGAGGGGUUCGUGGUGAAGGUCCAGGGCCUAUCCUGGUCCUGCUCAGCUGAUGAAGUGAUGCACUUCUCUGAUUGCAAAAUACAAAAUGGCACAUCAGGUAUUUGUUUCAUCUACACCGGAGAAGGCAGACCAAGUGGUGAAGCAUUUGUUGAACUUGAAUCUGCAGAUGAAGCGAAAUUGGCUUUAAAGACAGAGAAACCAUGGGACACAGAUACGUUGAAGUAUUCAAGUCUAAUAGUGUUGAAAUGGAUUGGGUAUCGAAGCACACAGGUCUGAAUAGUCCUGAUACUGCCAACGAUGGCUUCGUCUGGCUUAGAGGACUUCCAUUUGGCUGUCCAAGGAAGAGAUUGUUCAUUUCUUUUCAGGGUUGGAAAUUGUGCCAAAUGGGAUAACACUGUGAGUGGACUUUCAGGGCAGAAGCACAGGGGAAGCCUUUGUGCAGUUGGCUUCGCAGGAGAUAGCUGAGACGGCAUUGAAGAAACACAGGGAAAGAAUAGGGCACAGGUACAUUGAAAUCUUCUAGAAUAGCCAAGCUGAAGUUCAUACCUACUAUGAUCCCUCUCAGAAGCUCAUGGCUGUGCAGUGGCCAGGUCCCAGUGAUAGGCCAGGGGCUGGCUGAGGUGUAAUAGCAUUGGCAGAGGAGCUGGGUUUGAAAAGAUGAGGCAGGGUCCCUAUGGUGGAGGGUAUAGAGGCUAUGAUGACUAUCGUGGCUGUAAUGAUGGAUAUGGCUUUAGGUCUGAUAGAUUUGGAAAAGACCGCAAUUACUGUUUUUCAGGAAUGUCUGAUCAUAGAUACGGAGAUAGUGGGUCCAGUUUCCAGAGCACCACAGGGCACUGUGUACACACGAGGGGUUUACCUUACAGAGCCACUAAGAAUGUUAUAAUUUCUAUUCACCUCUUAACCUCAUGAGAGUACAUAUUGAAAUUGGACACGAUGACAGAGUUUACUGGUAGGGCAGAUGUUGAGUUUGCUGCUCACGAAGAUGCAGUGGCAGCUAUGGCAAAAGACAAAGCUAAUAUGCAGCACAGGUACAGGGAGACCUUUUUAAAUGCUAUAGGAACAAGUAGGGGGGUUUAUGAACACACCUAUGUAGAACUUUUCUUGAAUCUACAGCAGGGGCAAGUGGUGGUGCUUAUGGUAGGCAAAUGAUGGGAGAGAUGGGCU
rnacentral:lncRNA from 1 species